rnacentral:rRNA from 1 species
UUGACCUCGGAUCAGGUAGGGAUACCCGCUGAACUUAAGCAUAUCAAUAAGCGGAGGAAAAGAAACCAACCGGGAUUGCCUCAGUAACGGCGAGUGAAGCGGCAAGAGCUCAAAUUUGAAAGCUGGCUCCUUCGGAGUCCGCAUUGUAAUUUGCAGAGGAUGCUUUGGGUGCGGCCCCCGUCUAAGUGCCCUGGAACGGGCCGUCAGAGAGGGUGAGAAUCCCGUCUUGGGCGGGGUGUCCGUGCCCGUGUAAAGCUCCUUCGACGAGUCGAGUUGUUUGGGAAUGCAGCUCUAAAUGGGUGGUAAAUUUCAUCUAAAGCUAAAUACUGGCCGGAGACCGAUAGCGCACAAGUAGAGUGAUCGAAAGAUGAAAAGCACUUUGAAAAGAGAGUUAAACAGCACGUGAAAUUGUUGAAAGGGAAGCGCUUGCGACCAGACUCGCCCGCGGGGUUCAGCCGGCAUUCGUGCCGGUGUACUUCCCCGUGGGCGGGCCAGCGUCGGUUUGGGCGGCCGGUCAAAGGCCCCUGGAAUGUAGUGCCCUCCGGGGCACCUUAUAGCCAGGGGUGCAAUGCGGCCAGCCUGGACCGAGGAACGCGCUUCGGCACGGACGCUGGCAUAAUGGUCGUAAACG